CGCGAACUCUUGGGUGCAAGCCAUCCUCCUGCCUCAGCUACCCAAAGUGUUGGGAUUACAGGCCCUGCACUUCUGAGGCUUGAUCUGCGAUGCUGGGAGAGAUGGGACGCUGCCAGAAGGGGCUACUGGCAGGCUGCCAAGAGGCUGCCCACAGAGGCCUUUGCCCUGACAAAUUCACCCCUGGGGCCCUGAGUCUGCCCUCAGCCUGGCAGCUGGUAGAGAGGAGAUCCAGGUCCCAGCUGUGGACUCAGACGAAUCAAUUGCUCGGGAGGCCAAUAUAUACACCAGAUGAGUUGGCUGACUCAUUAGGCACUUCCCACAAUCCAGUUCCUUCAUCCCCCUGCCGCCCCUGCCACAAGCUUCCUGCUGGAGUCUGGAGGACCUCAAAGAUGUCCAAGGAGGCCAGCCCUUGGGAGGCCGAGGACUUCACAGCCCGAGGGGAGAGCAAGUCAUCCAGCCGCUGAGACCCACUCAGACCACGAACAGGGCAGGUGCUCAGAGGGCUCGCCCUCUCGUCUACCCCAAACUGGCUGUUGGACAUUCUAGUGUUGACCCAGAGAAAGAAGCUGAGGCAAAAUCAAUAUACAGGGUUAAUUUGGGCCAAGAGUGAGGACAGCCAUUAGGGACACACUUCAAGUUGCCUUGGGGUGUGCUCUGUGUUCAGCUUUUGUUACAAGCAGACCUUUAAAGGCAAAAGGGGACGGCCGGGCGCGGUGGCUCACACCUGUAAUCCCAGCACUUUGGGAGGCCGAGACGGGUGGAUCACGAGGUCAGGAGAUCGAGACCAUCCUGGCUAACACUGUGAAACCCCGUCUCUACUAAAAAUACAAAAAAUUAGCCGGGUGCGGUUGCAGGCAUCUGUACUCCAAGCUACACAGGAGGCUGAGGCAGGAGAAUGGCGUGAACCUGGGAGGCGGAGCUUGCAGUGAGUGGAGAUCACACCACUGCACUCCAGCCUGGGCGGCAGAGCGAGACUCCGUCUCAAAAAAAAAAAAAGGCUAAAGGGUUGACAAGGAGUGGGUGAUUCAACAAUGUUCUUAGUAGUUUGCAGGAAUAACAUUGGCUUGUGAUUGGCUAUGCAUUAUUGAGCUAUGGGGUAUGAGUUACGGUGUCUGGAAUAUGGCAUUUUAUGGCUACGUGAUAUCAGUCUAGAGCCCACAUAGCAAGUGGCUUCAAGAGGUAAUUAUUUAGCCUGGUGGUUGGGGGUGGGGUGAGAUGUGACUGCUGUCAUUUGCUGUUGCAUUUCUUUUUUGAGACAGAGUCUCACUCUGUUGCCCAGGCUGGAGUGCAGUGGUGCAAUCUUGGCUCAAGCGAUUCUCCUGCCUCAGCCUCCUGAGUAGUUGGGAUUACAGGUG